rnacentral:lncRNA from 1 species
AAAAAAGAGACAAAAGCUCUUUGAUGACCUUGGAAUUCUCUGCUAAUGCUAGAGCAGUCUCCUUGAGGUCCAGCCUUGCUCACCUGAUUCACAGAUAAGUAAUUUGUGGAAGGAUUCAAAGUGGUCCAGAGAAGAAAAUCCUCAGAAGUACCUCAAAGCUAAAGUUUGAUUUCUGUCAUUCACUGAUAUUCCUUUCUCUUCUCAUCUUGCAGGACAAAGUUUUCCUCUCGUAUUUCUCUGCUGCUGUGAUCUCCAUUUCUGCACAUCCCAGAAACUUGCUUGUUUAAUCCUGCUUACAAAAAAGGAUGGUGUGUUUAAAGAAAAAUAAUUUAAAAUGAUUUUUAGCUACUUAGUAAAAAAUAAAUAGUGUACUUUUUCUAAGCGAACCAGGCAUUCUUAGCAAUUAAUUUCUUUUCUUAUACUCUCCAUUACCCUGGAGAAGGAUGUGCAUCCUAAAGAUAUUAUAAAAUAAGCAAAAAAACCCAACUUGAAAGGACUGGCAGUGUUUAAAGUUAGCAUUUGGAGUAUAUCUGCAAGAAGCAGCAGCAGUGUUUAAAUGGGAAAUUCCAGACUAUAAAUUCUUUUUCAGCUAGAUUAUAUUCAGUACAAGUGUUGACUUUCAAUUUAUACCUUUGAUAUGACUCAUUGAAUGUUCUGAUUCUUAGUUUAUUUGUCCUGUCUUCAGCAAAAUGGAUUGAAUAAAGGG